rnacentral:lncRNA from 1 species
CACAUCCAAUCACAUCUUCCCAAACAAGCUGUCUAGUUAUAUCAAUUAAACAGUACAGUUAUCACGACGUAGAAAUUGGUGCCUUCCUGUUCCCAAAAAUGGAAGAACCUGGAUGAAAUGGAAGUCCCUCAAAAUUCUUUUCCAAAACUCACUCCUUUUCCAAGGACCAUGGCAAAUUAAAAAUAUGUUAAACAGAUGCACAUCGUUGACCGAAAGUACACAUACAUUGAACGUAUACUUUGCCCCCCAACACCAGAAUCAUGUCCUACAUUGAAAUAGUUAGAACCUUACGUAGAGGUAAAACAAGCCACCUGACUUGCAACUUCAAAGC